UACGGAGGGUGCAAACGUUGCUCGGAAUCAUUGGGCGUAAAGCGCACGUAGGCGGUCCAGCAAGUCGGGUGUGAAAGCCCUCGGCUCAACCGGGGGAAGUGCAUUCGAAACUGCUGAACUUGAGUAUGGAAGAGGGUCGCGGAAUUCCCGGUGUAGAGGUGAAAUUCGUAGAUAUCGGGAGGAACACCAGUGGCGAAGGCGGCGACCUGGGCCAAUACUGACGCUGAGGUGCGAAAGCGUGGGGAGCAAACAGG
rnacentral:rRNA from 1 species